UCCGGAGGGGGCUAGCGUUGUUCGGAAUUACUGGGCGUAAAGCGCGCGUAGGCGGACCUGCAAGUCGGGGGUGAAAGCCCGAGGCUCAACCUCGGAACUGCCUUCGAUACUGCGGGUCUCGAGUCCGAGAGAGGUGAGUGGAAUUCCUAGUGUAGAGGUGAAAUUCGUAGAUAUUAGGAAGAACACCAGUGGCGAAGGCGGCUCACUGGCUCGGUACUGACGCUGAGGUGCGAAAGCGUGGGGAGAAAACAGG
rnacentral:rRNA from 1 species